UACGAAGGGGGCUAGCGUUGCUCGGAAUCACUGGGCGUAAAGCGCACGUAGGCGGAUUGCUAAGUCAGGGGUGAAAUCCUGGAGCUCAACUCCAGAACUGCCCUUGAUACUGGCGGUCUCGAGUCCGGGAGAGGUGAGUGGAACUGCGAGUGUAGAGGUGAAAUUCGUAGAUAUUCGGAGGAACACCAGUGGCGAAGGCGGCUCACUGGUCCAUUACUGACGCUGAGGUGCGAAAGCGUGGGGGAGCAAACAGG
rnacentral:rRNA from 1 species